CCCCUAGCAACCUGAAAGAAAUUGAAAGCAGAAUUUUCCCCAGAUCCUCAAGAUAAGACACCUUGUCCAAGUGACACCUUGAUUUUACUCUUAUUAGGCUCUGAGCAGAGGACUUGGUUGAGUCUUCCUGUGCAUUGGUUUCUGAUCCUUUGAAAUGUAAGAAAAGAAAGUGAUUUGAUAUCAAAGUGUAAAGGGGAUCGGUACAGCAGUAAACCCUGCAGGAUACAGGACAUCAGUCAGGUGCAGUGUAAGCAAUCUUGGACAACGAAGUUUUUUUAGAUCAAAUCCUGCUCUGGGAAGAGAAAAAUCAACUUGCAUUCUGAUGUACAAAUCUACAGCAGCUUACUGGGUCACUAUGGAAAGGGUACUUACCUUGACAGCAAAUAAUAAAUUAAUUUCUAAUUAAAAGAGGUGAUUUUUUUGUAUUUCAAAGCAUUCUCAGUUAUUUUGGCAUUUGCACCUAUUGUCUUACACUCCCUACAGACUAUUGUAUAUAAUUUACUGCACUUUUCCUCCAUUUGUCAUUUCUAUUUAAUAAUAAUAGCAUCGUAGACAAUAACUUUAGCAUUAAUGCAUUUUAUUAUCUAACUUUAUGGAUAUGAUCUGUUUCACCUGUUUGGGAUCUGUAAGAAAGGUUACUACUCUUUCAAUCUUCAAAAUAUAUGCAAUAGGAUUCUGAGUCCCCAGCAAAUCGAUUCUUCUUUGGGGUUCCCUCCCAAAUGA
rnacentral:lncRNA from 1 species